AUCUAUGGCCAUACCACCCUGAACCUGCCCGAUCUCGUCUGAUCUCAAAAGCUAAUCGGGGUCAGGCCUGCUUAGUACUUGGGUGGGAGAAAAAGACUGCUUUCCCACAAGGCACUUUACUGUGUCAAAAAAU
rnacentral:rRNA from 1 species